UACGAAGGGGAUGCUAGCUGUUGGUGAAUCACUGGGCGUAAAGCGCACGUAGGCGGAUCUUUAAGUCAGGGGUGAAAUCCCGAGGCUCAACCUCGGAACUGCCUUUGAUACUGGGGAUCUCGAGUCCGGGAGAGGUGAGUGGAACUGCGAGUGUAGAGGUGAAAUUCGUAGAUAUUCGCAAGAACACCAGUGGCGAAGGCGGCUCACUGGCCCGGAACUGACGCUGAGGUGCGAAAGCGUGGGGAGCAAACAGG
rnacentral:rRNA from 1 species